AAUUAUCCUCAUAAGUUCGUCAAUAAGAGGAACCACUUUCUAAUAUUUAAACUCCUGUUAAAAUUAGUUUUAAAAAAGUGGUGGCACAAAAUCGGAAGCCCCGACUGUUUACUAAAAACACAGCUAUCUGCAAUGAUGUAAAUCAUAGUAUAGGUAGUGAGGUUUGCCCAAUGCCAUCAGCAUAAGAAACGUAAUGGGAAACUGUUAAAUAUCGAAAGCCUGGUUAAUAGCGGUCUUAACCAUGAGGAUCCUAAGGUAGCAAAAUAAAUUGGCCAUUAAAUGUGGUCCGGUAUCAAUAAUUUAACGAUGGCUUCACUGUCUCUACAACUUGCUCAGUGAAAUUGAAUUGUGAGUGCAGAUGCUCACUACUCGCAGGGGGACGGGAAGACCCUAUGCACUUUUAC
rnacentral:rRNA from 1 species